GGAAGACGUUGUUCGAUCUGUUUUCGCCGCAGCUCUGUAAUUUUUGCAUAGGUUUUGCUAAUGAUUGAGUAAGUUAUAUCCUUGGAAGACGCCCGCGUCUUUAAGGCGGUACUGUCUCUAUAGUAAUGGUACGGCUGCUCCGGCACCGCCAUCUUUAAAGGGACAGCGCCAUCCGAAGGAAGCCAGCGUGGCGGAGGCGGCCAUGGCCUCGCAAGGCGUAGAGCUGCCACACAUCAGGGACGAUCAACCGUCGAGUGCGUCAUCAUCGUUCAGUGGGAACGACUAAACUAUCGUCGACCCUGAUGAUUCGUCGCUGGUUGCAUGACGAAGCAUGACGAAGCAUGAUGAAUCAAGAUUUUUGGCGCCAAUCAGGCGGCAGUAUGAGAUAUCUUCGGGCACCCCCGUGCUUUCUACUGACGUUUAUUCUAUGUGUCAUCUUGUUGCCGAUUUGCAUCACGCCCCUAUAUGCUUCUGACGUAGAAGAGCAAGCGAAAAUGACAACGUGCGAGCUAAUCAAGCACUUUGGCUUUUCCUGCGAGACGACUGAGGCCACCACCGAAGACGGAUACAUCCUGGAAGUUGACAGGGUGGGGACGUUGUCUCGGGCCAACAGUACGUCAUCGUCGGGGAACGGCACCUCUCGAAAUCCCAUCAUCCUGGUGCAGGGAAUAUUUUGCGAGUCGGGUUCCUGGUUCCUGAACUACCCUUCGCAAAGCGCAGGCUUUCUUCUGGCUGAACGUGGCUACGACGUGUGGGCUAUGAACAAUAGGGAGAUUGCGUUCCGCUCUCGCCACAAGACUCUGCGCCAAAUCGAUGACCGAUACUGGCAGUGGAGCUACGACGAAAUCGGCCGCUACGAUAUUGCCGCCGUCAUUAACCUUGUACUGAACGUCACUGGUGCCAGCAAAGUGAGCAUAUUGGGAUUCUCCCAAGGUCUAACUGCGAGCUUGGUUCUCCUUUCAACGAGGCCAGAGUACAACGAGAAGGUUGAUCUACUUCUAGCCUACGGUCCAGUGGCGAAUAUAACUCACAUAGGGUAUCCGAUUCGUGAGCUGAUACCAUUCGCUGGACCCUUCUUCCUUCUUCUGGAUCCUCUGCGUGACAGCGGUUAUUUGUACGUCCCCGAAGCUCCGAGGGAGGUGAUACAGCUCGUUUGUCGCAUCUUCCAAACCCAGCCUUGCAGCCUGAUUGAACUGGUUACGCAUUUAUUCAGCCCUGAGCAGCUGAACAAGACGAGAAUACCUGUCACGCUGUCACAUUAUCCGAUUGGGACUUCGUAUCAGAAUCUACGACACUUCGUACAGAACCAUGCAAAAAAGGACUUUCUCAUGUAUGAUUAUGGCGCCGUCAAGAACAAGGAGCGCUAUGGACAGAGUGUGCUGCGACGGUAAUCGACAUUAUGACAAACACUGCCCAAAAACAGUACCACUACCUGGUGACAACGGCCUCUCAGACUGACCUGAAGCAGCAUCUGGAAAAGGGCUUUGCCUUUGAGUUUCCACGUAAGAGAACGUUCACGAUUACCGGAACAUCGGGGAGCCGGAGCAAACUAGCCACGAACGUGAUCGGAGCGCAGGCAAGGAGAAGACAGUGCACGCGUAUACAUGCCGAGGACGGUCGCACAGCGGCAAGUUGUGACAGAGCGGAAUGGCUCAAGAUUUUUUGUGUAACUAUACGUGGCCUUCCCAAAGCAACUGCGGAGCACAAAGGAAAUGCGCUGCUCAGGGUAUCUAUUGUUUGCGGCUGUAUGAGCCAUUUCUUACGUUGGCAUAAGCCAUUGAUGAUGGAAGUCUUCGACAGGCUUUUUCGUAUGUUUUACGCGUGAUUAGAAAAAAAAUGUAAGCACUGUUCGCUUCAAUUCGCUGAGUGCUUGUAGCCUCUGCCUUACGGGACUAUAUGCUAUUGCAUUUUUUAUUGUUUACGGCGGUAUGAGCCAUUGAUGAAGUUAGUUUAUGUUGAUGCACACGAUAAAUAGACGGAGCCCUAGCAAUAAACAGCUUCGCUGUAAUAUAAUCGUUAACAUGUGCUAAAGGAUGAGCUAAGAGUGUUUAAAAAUUUUUUUAUAAGUUCGACUGACAUGUCAUCAUCACGUGCAGACUGUGUUCUUCAACCAAACAAUUAAUUUUUGUUUCGUCGUCGGUUGCAUGAUGAAGCAAAAAUGAACAAAUGUUUCGUGCCAGCAAUCCACGUACACAUGUUGUCACGUAAAAUUGUGUUGUUGCAGUGGCGUAGGGCUGCCGAACUUCAGCCCGCCCCCCGAAAUUAUUCCGGA